UACGUAGGGUGCGAGCGUUAAUCGGAAUUACUGGGCGUAAAGCGUGCGCAGGCGGUUCGUUGUGUCGGUGGUGAAAUCCCCGGGCUUAACCUGGGAAUGGCCAUGGAAACUGGCGAGCUGGAGUGCGGCAGAGGGGGGUGGAAUUCCGCAUGUAGCAGUGAAAUGCGUAGAGACGCGGAGGAACACCGAUGGCGAAGGCAGCCCCCUGGGCUAGCACUGACGCUCAGGCACGAAAGCGUGGGGAGCAAACAGG
rnacentral:rRNA from 1 species